rnacentral:rRNA from 1 species
CCUACGGGUGGCUGCAGUGGGGAAUAUUGGACAAUGGGCGAAAGCCUGAUCCAGCCAUGCCGCGUGUGUGAAGAAGGCCUUCGGGUUGUAAAGCACUUUCAGUGGGGAAGAAAGCCUUGGGGCUAAUACCCUCUAGGAAGGACAUCACCCACAGAAGAAGCACCGGCUAACUCCGUGCCAGCAGCCGCGGUAAUACGGAGGGUGCGAGCGUUAAUCGGAAUUACUGGGCGUAAAGCGCGCGUAGGCGGUCUGAUAAGCCGGUUGUGAAAGCCCCGGGCUCAACCUGGGAACGGCAUCCGGAACUGUCAGGCUAGAGUGCAGGAGAGGAAGGUAGAAUUCCCGGUGUAGCGGUGAAAUGCGUAGAGAUCGGGAGGAAUACCAGUGGCGAAGGCGGCCUUCUGGACUGACACUGACGCUGAGGUGCGAAAGCGUGGGUAGCAAACAGGAUUAGAUACCCCAGUAGUC